UACGAAGGGGGCUAGCGUUGUUCGGAUUCACUGGGCGUAAAGGGUGCGUAGGUGGCAUGUUAAGUUUGAUGUGAAAGCUCAGGGCUCAACCCUGAAAUGGCAUUGAAUACUAGCGUGCUGGAGGUUUGGAGGGGGGACUGGAAUUCUCGGUGUAGCAGUGAAACGCGUAGAUAUCGAGAGGAACACCAGUGGCGAAGGCGAGUCCCUGGACAACACCUGACACUGAGGCACGAAAGCUAGGGGAGCAAACAGG
rnacentral:rRNA from 1 species